UACCAACUUUUUCGUGCUCAAGUACAUACAUGCUUUGAUUAGAAUAAACUCAGAUAAAACUGAUGGAUCCAUCCUGGACCUGAAUUUUCAUGGUCUUCAAUUAUAUGGAUCAUUUGUUUGCUGCAUCAUUCAACUAUAAGCUCCUCCGAUCUUAUAGCUUACAACUAUGUACAUACUACAUAUAAUAGUUUUCUGCAUUUGAGAUUCAUCUGUGCAUUUUUUCAAACCCAAAAUCUAUCUAUCUGUUUUCCAAACUCUGCUACUACCUAUUUGUUUUGGCUAAAUGACAGGUUACCGACUGUGGUGAUCUGAAUUCUCAGGUAAAAAAAUCCAAAACUCUUCUGUAGAAUAUCGAAUUUUGUAAGGAAAUUGUUGUAUCAAAAGCUAAUUCUCUGUAAAAACUAUAGAUCCGUUCUUAUGGAGAAGUAUGGACAUUUAGUGUUAGACCAUUUGAAUUGCCUCUCCCAGAACAAACUAUUAAUGUGAACUACGAUGGAUUUGCUGAAGAUGUGAGAGUUGGUGAUGAGCUUCUUGUGGAUGGUGGAAUGGCUCGGUUUGAGGUGAUUGAGAAGAUAGGCUAGCUUUCUGAUUUGUUUUGGUUCUCACUUAGUUGAGCAAUAAUGCAUAGCUUUCUGAGAUUAACUCAAUCUUGAACCUGAUAAUGUUGUCUCAAGUGCCCAAUAGAAUUCACUACAAGUACAAGUCAUACAAGUUAUGAAAUUGAACUUGAGCUAAUGAUCUGUGUAACUUUACAUUUCUCACAUCAAAUGGUAGUUUUUAUCUGCAGUCAGAGUAUACUUGGGAGUAUUGGUGGCCUAUAUGCCUUCGGUGUAGCAAUUUUUCUCUGCCUCAUGGCUCAAGUAGGUCAUCUUACCUGUAUUUGUGGUUAAGUUAUAUCAAUACGUUUCUAUGGUUUUCAUGUGUGAAACUCUUUCUAUAGCCGUGUUACAUCUUAGACUAAUACUUCAAUUUUUUUCUGUGAAUGAAAGCCUAAAACUUCAAUAUCUGAUCGCUUUAGAUCCCAUUUUUACCAUUUACCAGUCCACUUCAGAUCCAUCAAUACAACUAUUUGAUAUUAUCAUUCACAGUCACUUUGUGAAACUUCUGGCCCUUUAUGACACUGAAACUAAAGAAUUUCCAUGUAAUCUAUUCAUUAGCAUGUACACCGAUUCAAUAUGAAUGCUUGUGUAAUUAACAAGUUUACUUUUCAGUGUGAAGGCAGGAUAAAGAAGCUCCACGACGAGGAUACCAGAAUGCUCAAAAUUCUAAGCAAACAGUGUGCUCAAAGAAACUGGAACAAGGUAAAGCACAUCUUGAUCCAAAGACGAGUACCAUAUUCGUCCAUAUGUCUCCUUGAUCAAUAAGCUAUACUGAUUUCACUGUAACAGGUUCGGAAGUUUGCCAUGUACACAUGGGGUCCAAGCAACUUGGAUCCAACAGAUAGAAGUGGCAAGUGGCCUGAAGGUUCGAUGGUGGAUUCCCUACAUGGAUCCUUCCACAAGAGAAGAAAACCAAUUAGAAGAGGAACCUCAAUUGGGAGAAACCUAGGGUGUGUUUGGUUGAAUGUACAAAGAUGGAUGGAAUGAGGCGGCCACGUUUUCUAUAGUGUUUGGUUGAGAGUCAAGCAGGGGCGAGGUGAACACCGGAGUGAUUUUUAGGGGCGGCGUGAUCCCAAAAAAUCGAGGGGACGGUGGCGCCCCCAACUCAUCCUACUUUGACCUCAAACCAAACACACCCCUAAUAAGCCUGCUGACAUGGUAUAUUAUUUCUUGUUCUUCCACAGAACUUCACAUAUCUGAUAUUUAGCAUCGCAGAAUUUGUUUAUACCAUAAUGUUUUUUAGAGUUUUAGGGUGAUAGCCCCAGUCUUUUAACUGAUUGCCAAAAGACGGUUCCAGCCGUUGAGGAUGGCAUACCAUCCAUCAAAAAGCAUCCCAAAAAAAUCCAAAGAUAAACAUUUAUACCAUAAUAUGUACUCUGUGCAGCUUAGGAUGUUUGUUUCUUCAUCCAUUUGAUUUGCUAAAUGCUGCUUGUGCUAUACUUGGUUAAAAUUCAUGGCAAAUACAUUUUGUUGUGCAAUGGUACCACGUCAGACAGUUGAAAUCGAAAGAGGUGUGUGUGUGUGGGGGGGGGGGGGGGGUACAGCAGCCAAGCAAUUCUAGGUAGCCUUGAUGGAUGGAGGUCUGGACAUGAUGGUUCAUUGUUGUAAUGUAAUAUGCACAGCUCUUCCUACAUAGAUAGAUCCUAUCAAGUUCAUUACUUUGUGUAAUUCUGAAUGAGACCUUUUAUGCUGCUGCAGCGCCUGUGACCACAAAUGACUGUUGCAACACGACCAUACUCCAGGAAUGGAGCUAUCUAUAUGAAGAGUGUAGGUAGAGGCAAUUGGCUAAUAGUGUACAGGUUCAGUUUGCAAGGUCGUAGCAACAGGGUUCAAAGACGUGUGUUGAAAGGACAGUUGCUGAUGAUCAGCAUGA